rnacentral:tRNA from 2 species
GCGGGAUUAGUUAAGCGGCUUAAUGCUACCUUCCCAAGGUAGAGAGACGGGUUCGACUCCCGUAUCUCGCU